rnacentral:misc_RNA from 1 species
GUAGGUGAACCUGCGGAAGGAUCAUUAAGAAAAAAAGUUAUCUCCCACACCUCUGAGGGGUAGGAGGGACUCCACGCAUUAGCGGUCCGGGUAGCUUCCUUCGUGGAGAGGCCGGGCUGGAUCGCCCGUAUCGUGGUUGGUCUCAAGGGACCGGCUGCUUAAGUGCAAUCGGUACGGUCGCUGGUUUGCGGAGGCUGUAGUAAUACUAGCCUUGGGAGGGACUUUAAACCCGUGUUUACCUUCUUUGUUG